CGUUAAUGUCUCUGAUGGAUCACUUCCACACCUCAAAGAGAUCCCUGAACUCACGUUUGGUCUCCAAAGUGAGCGGACCCAUUUUGUUCAGAACGAAUGAGAUGCAGGUGCUGAUAUUUGGAGCCAGCUGGCACUGAAGCCUCCGCAGGCUGAAAGAACAAAAGAAAAGGACACUGAGGAGAGACAAGGAAGUAUUUUGACAGAUCUUACGGGGAGCUUUGACUCUGCUGCUUUCUCCAACAGAUGCUGCUGGAAUGCCAAGAAAAACAAAGAGAGGCUAAUGAUGGGUCAGAUAACCAGACCAACAGAGAAGCAGAUGAAAGGAAACAAAGCAAACCAAUUUGCAUGUGUCAAGUCUAAGGAGCUGGUGGGGCUGCGUGAGGGUGGGGGGUGGGAGGAUUAGUCUCUCUGGGGGUGGAAGAUGUUCGCUGGACCAGGAGGCCACAAGAGGCACCUCUAUAUAUGGCCCGACGCCUGAUGUUCACUAUAAGCAUGUUAAGAUGACAGAGAAUGAAGGGGGCGUGGAGGAGCCGGUUAUUUGCUACAGCUGGGACUGCAGGCGGACGCACCUGUUGGUCUCCACGCCGCCCUGCUGGAGGGAAGAAGGGGCACGAAUGGACUCUCGUGUUUGCUUUGUGCUGGACCUCCCUUUACACCCCAGAAGGCUGGACGAGUGUUUCUCCUGCAGUCCAGGAGGACUUUUGAACGGACCUUUUAAUAAAAACUUUGGUUUUUGGACACUCCCACUGCGAUUUGCCUAUUUUCAGGUCCAGGAGAAAACUUAGUCCUAACAGAACUCUCCGACCAGGAUGGACCCGGUGGACCAAGAUGUAGUGCAUCGCACGCUGGAGGCUCAGGGGAGGCUGUUGGGGCAUCCU
rnacentral:lncRNA from 1 species